GGCAAGGUGGCCGAGUGGUUAAGGCGCUGGUUUUAGGCGCCGAAUGGCGAAUACACCAGUGGGAAACCGCGCGAGUUCGAAUCUCGUCCUUGUCA